rnacentral:rRNA from 1 species
GUGUCAGCAGCCGCGGUAAUACAGAGGUCUCAAGCGUUGUUCGGAUUCAUUGGGCGUAAAGGGUGCGUAGGUGGCGAUGUAAGUCUGGUGUGAAAUCUCGGGGCUCAACCUCGAAAUUGCAUUGGAUACUGCGUUGCUUGAGGAUUGUAGAGGAGAGUGGAAUUCACGGUGUAGCAGUGAAAUGCGUAGAUAUCGUGAGGAAGACCAGUUGCGAAGGCGACUCUCUGGGCAAUUCCUGACACUGAGGCACGAAGGCCAGGGGAGCAAACGGGAUUAGAAACCCGGGUAGUCC